rnacentral:rRNA from 1 species
UGGGCCUACGGGAGGCAGCAGUGGGGGAUAUUGGACAAUGGGGGGAACCCUGAUCCAGCGACGCCGCGUGAGUGAAGAAGUAUUUCGGUAUGUAAAGCUCUGUCAGCAGGGAAGAAAGAAAUGACGGUACCUGACCAAGAAGCCCCGGCUAACUACGUGCCAGCAGCCGCGGUAAUACGUAGGGGGCAAGCGUUAUCCGGAAUUACUGGGUGUGAAGGGAGCGUAGACGGUUAAGUAAGUCUGGAGUGAUGGGCCGGGGCCCA